rnacentral:rRNA from 1 species
AUUGAACGCUGGCGGCAUGCCUUACACAUGCAAGUCGAACGGCAGCAUGAUCUAGCUUGCUAGAUUGAUGGCGAGUGGCGAACGGGUGAGUAAUACAUCGGAACGUGCCCUGUAGUGGGGGAUAACUAGCCGAAAGAUUAGCUAAUACCGCAUACGACCUGAGGGUGAAAGUGGGGGACCGCAAGGCCUCAUGCUAUAGGAGCGGCCGAUGUCUGAUUAGCUAGUCGGUGAGGUAAAGGCUCACCAAGGCGACGAUCAGUAGCUGGUCUGAGGGGACGAUCAGCCACACUGGGACUGAGACACGGCCCAGACUCCCACGGGAGGCAGCAGUGGGGAAUUUUGGACAAUGGGGGCAACCCUGAUCCAGCAAUGCCGCGUGUGUGAAGAAGGCCUUCGGGUUGUAAAGCACUUUUGUCCGGAAAGAAAUCGCACUUACUAAUAUUAGGUGUGGAUGACGGUACCGGAAGAAUAAGGACCGGCUAACUACGUGCCAGCAGCCGCCGUAACAC